GAACAGGGGGAGACUUGAAUCCCAGAGAAAACCUAACAAAACAGAAAUGACUCUUGAUGAACCUCUUGCUCUGGACUGGUGCCCUAGAAGUGAAUGAAAUUGUUUUAAAGAUUACCAAGAAGAUAUAACAUAUAUCAAAUGCAGCAUUAAUAUAAGAAUCCCCUGAAAACAUGCUGGUAUUUGAAAAUUCUGCAUUCCAAUGAAGGGUGUGCACAUGGAGGAUCCUGAUGGUACCUGACUCUGUGCAGAUGCAACAGCCCAAACUCUGUCUCUGACCCUACUUCUAUCAUACGCCCAGCGGAUCCCUUGCAACUAUAUGAUUCCUCUGUUAGCAGUUGGUGAUAAUGGUGCCAGAGAGGGCAGAAUUGUUUCAGAAUUCACAGAGAGGAUGGCAUGUUAAAAUUAGAAUAAAUAUUCUAGAUCAAGACCCUUAUUCAGUAAAUGAGGACAACGAAAGCAGAGAAGCAGUGUGCCCGACCCAGGUCUGGCUUACUGAAAUUCCUGGCUGAUGUCUCUGUGUCCCCUAUUACUGCCUACCCCUCCCACCUCCUGAGAAUGUUUAGUCAUGACAACCAGAAGUGAUUUGUUAAUCAGGGGACCCACUUUGGUGAAAGGAGAUGAUUCUGUAUCAUUAACUGAUUAAAUAAAACAAAUUCCAGUAUAA